rnacentral:tRNA from 1 species
GGCUCUGUGGCGCAAUGGAUAGCGCAUUGGACUUCUAGGUUCAACAUUGGAGCUAUUCAAAGCUUGUGGGUUCAAGUCCCUCCAGAGUCA